GAUGAACGCUGGCGGCGUGCUUAACACAUGCAAGUCGAGCGAAGCGCUUUACUUUGAUUUCUUCGGAAUGAAGAGUGAUUUGACUGAGCGGCGGACGGGUGAGUAACGCGUGGGCAACCUGCCUCAUACAGGGGGAUAACAGUUAGAAAUGACUGCUAAUACCGCAUAAGACCACAGUACCGCAUGGUAUGGUGGUAAAAACUCCGGUGGUAUGAGAUGGGCCCGCGUCUGAUUAGGUAGUUGGUGGGGUAACGGCCUGCCAAGCCGACGAUCAGUAGCCGACCUGAGAGGGUGACCGGGCCACAUUGGGACUGAGACACGGGCCCCAAAACUCCUACGGGAGGCAGCAGUGGGGGAAUAUUGCACAAUGGGGGAAACCCUGGAUGCAGCGACGCCGCGUGAAGGAUGAAGUAUUUC
rnacentral:rRNA from 1 species